AGUGGGCAGCUUGGGAUGAAUCCAAUAGACACUGUCUGGAUACAAUGAAAUACACCAUUGAUAGAACAACUAGAGAUAGCAUCCCUGCAUGUGAUAAGGCCAAAGAUUACUUGGCAGCUAUUGGAAGAACUUUUAAGAAGGUAGAUAAGGCAGAAAAGGGUAACUAUCUGAGGCUGCUUGCUAAUACUCAGUAUGAUGGUGUUUCUGGGGUCAGAGAGCACGCCCUUAAGAUGACAAGUUACCAUAAGAAGCUAAAGGACAUGGAUGUCAAUCUGCCUGAUGACUACCUGGUCUUCCAAAUCCUUGAAUCCCUUCCACCACAAUUUGGCAAUUUGAGAAGCCAAUACAAUACUCAUAAAGACACUUGGAAUAUCACUGAGUUGACUGCUUAUAUGGUUCAAGAAGAGGAAUCAUUGAAGAAGGGAAAAUCUCACACUGUCAUGGUGGCAACUACUCAAGAGAGUGGGAGUGUGAAGAAAGGCUCUUCAAAGGGCAGCAAUAAGUUUUUCAAGAAGAAAAAGUUUGGAAAGAAAACUUCACGUGGUAAUUCUUCUACCACUUCUGGUUCCACUUCUAAGAGCUUUAAGGGAAAGUGCCACUUUUGUAAGAAACCUGGGCACAAGAGAGCUGACUGCAAGGGAUUCAAAGCAUGGUUGGAAAAGAAAGGUAUUCCUGUAACUUUGUAGGCUUUGAAUCUAAUUUAGUUGAUGUUCCUUCUGAUACUUGGUGGUUGGAUACUGGUGCAACCAUUAAUCUAAAGAAUUCCUUACAGGAAUUCAGAAGCAGGAGGGAGCCCAAUGAAGGGGAGUUGAUAGUUCACAUGGGCAAUGGAGUGACAGCCAAAGUUGAAAGCAUAGGAGGUGUCAGACUACAUCUAGCCAUAGGCUAUUUUUUGGAUCUGUUAGAUACGGCUUAUAUUCCUUCUAUAAGGAGAAACUUGAUAUUUGUAUCUAUUUUGGAUAGAUAUGGCUAUACUUUUCAUUUUGGUGAUAGAAAAGUUUACUUAUUCCGCAAUUCAGAGUUAGUUGGUUCUGGCACUCUAUAUGAUGGCUUAUAUAUGAUUGAUUUAUUUUCUCGUGGUGUUGAAUCAUCAUCCAAUGCUCAUGUUGUGCAUGUUGUUAGCUCUAAUCGUGCCAGGGUUGAUGAAAAUUCCUCUAUGUUGUGGCAUAAACGGUUAGGUCACAUUUCUAAACAGAGGAUGGAGAGGCUUAUUAAAGAUAGCAUUCUACAUAAGUUGGAUUUCUCUGAUUUUGGCACUUGUGUUGAUUGUGUCAAAGGCAAACUUACUGCCAAAACCAGAAAAGAGAGAACUCAGAGGAGUCAACAGGUGCUGGAGUUGGUACAUACAGACAUUUGUGGGCCAUUUACUCCUAUUGCCAUUGGAGGUUAUAAGUACUUCAUCACGUUCAUCGAUGACUUUUCUCGUUAUGGUCAUGUUGAACUUCUUGCUGAAAAGUCUGAAUCUAGAGACUUGGCAUUAAGAGUUGAUGAACCAGCCAAGCCCACAGAUAAGAGCACUGCUGCUGAAAAAGCAGAGUGGGCAGCUUGGGAUGAAUCCAAUAGACACUGUCUGGAUACAAUGAAAUACACCAUUGAUAGGACAACUCGAGAUAGCAUCCCUGCAUGUGAUAAGGCCAAAGAUUACUUGGCAGCUAUUGGAAGAACUUUUAAGAAGGUAGAUAAGGCAGAAAAGGGUAACUAUCUGAGGCUGCUUGCUAAUACUCAGUAUGAUGGUGUUUCUGGGGUUAGAGAGCACGUCCUUAAGAUGACAAGUUACCAUAAGAAGCUAAAGGACAUGGAUGUCAAUCUGCCUGAUGACUACCUGGUCUUCCAAAUCCUUGAAUCCCUUCCACCACAAUUUGGCAAUUUG
rnacentral:lncRNA from 1 species